rnacentral:tRNA from 1 species
GUGGAUGUAGUUUAAUAAAAACAUUAGAUUGUGAUUCUAAAAACAGGGGUUAAAACCCCCUCAUUCACC